rnacentral:rRNA from 1 species
AUAGCGUAUACUAAAGUUGUUGCAGUUAAAAAGCUCGUAGUUGGAUCUCGGGUCGUGCCGAGCGGUUCGCUUCGCGGCGGUACUUCUCGGCGCGGCCUAGCCGCCGGUCUUCGCUUGGUGCUCUUCGUUGAGUGCCUCGCGCGGCCGACAGAUUUACUUUGAAAAAAUUAGAGUGCUCAAAGCAGGCGCUUCGCUUGUAUAGUCGUGCAUGGAAUAAUGGAAUAGGACCUCGGUUCUAUUUUGUUGGUUUUCGGAAUCUGAGGUAAUGAUCAAUAGGGACAGACGGGGCGAUUCGUAUUGCGGCGCUAGAGGUGAAAUUCUUGGACCGUCGCAAGACGAA